UACGAAGGGGGCUAGCGUUGUGCGGAAUUACUGGGCGUCAAGCGCACGCAGGCGGAUGUAUAAGACAGGGGUGAAAUCCCGGGGGUCAACCUCGGAAUUGCCCUUGAUACUGUCUAUCUUGAGUCCGGGAGAGGUGAGUGGAAUUCCUAGUGUAGAGGUGACAUUCGUAGAUAUUAGGAAGAACACCAGUGGCGAAGGCGGCUCACUGGCCCGGUACUGACGCUCAUGUGCGAAAGCGUGGGGAGCAAACAGG
rnacentral:rRNA from 1 species